UCAAUGGAGAGUUUGAUCCUGGCUCAGGACGAACGCUGGCGGCGUGCUUAACACAUGCAAGUCGAACGGUGAACCGCUUACG
rnacentral:rRNA from 1 species